CGAUGGUGUUCAGGGUCCUCUCCAGGGUGCAAUUCCCAGGGAACUGCCGGCUCUCGGCGUGGCUGUGGGUGCUGGCAGACAUGGCUGAGCUCGGGAGGAAUUUUCUGGAGGAAACCAGGCAUAAAACCAGAAGAAAAGCCGAGCUCAGGGUCUCCACAGACUGGUGGAUGAGCCACCAAAUGUUUUGCAACUGUCACCUCUGUGUCACCCGUCCAGAAGAAUGAGGAGACUCUCAGAAGAUUUAAACCAAGACAAUAGAUACCAGGAAGAGGAGAGGACCAGCAGAACAAGAGGGUAACCAGUCCUGUUUGAGGAUGCUCCUCGUGUGGCCCGGGGGCAGUGGCAGGAACUGUUGCAUGAGUUUUA